UUUUCCUAGUGUUUCAGGGAAAAAAAUCUACAAAAUUUAUACAGGAAACCAGAGAAAUUUAAAUUUUGUGGGAUCCUGGAUUUUCAGUUUUUUUUUUCAAAAUUUUAUAUUUUUUCAAAAAAAAAAUUUCUAAACAAUUUG
ensembl:ncRNA F57A10.9 ncRNA